AGUGGCGGACGGGUGAGUAACGCGUGAGAAUCUGCCUUGGGGUCGGGGACAACCACUGGAAACGGUGGCUAAUACCGGAUAAGCCGAUUGGUGAAAGAUUUAUUGCCCGAAGAGGAGCUCGCGUCUGAUUAGCUAGUUGGUGAGGUAAGAGCUCACCAAGGCAGCGAUCAGUAGCUGGUCUGAGAGGACGAUCAGCCACACUGGGACUGAGACACGGCCCAGACUCCUACGGGAGGCAGCAGUGGGGAAUUUUCCGCAAUGGGCGAAAGCCUGACGGAGCAAGACCGCGUGAGGGAGGAAGGCUCUUGGGUUGUAAACCUCUUUUCUCAGGGAAGAAGCUCUGACGGUACCUGAGGAAUCAGCCUCGGCUAACUCCGUGCCAGCAACCGCGGUAAUACGGAGGAGGCAAGCGUUAUCCGGAAUUAUUGGGCGUAAAGCGUCCGCAGGUGGCGAUUCAAGUCUGCUGUCAAAGCACGGGGCUUAACUCCGUAAAGGCAGUGGAAACUGAAUAGCUAGAGUGCCGUAGGGGUAGAGGGAAUUCCCGGUGUAGCGGUGAAAUGCGUAGAGAUCGGGAAGAACAUCGGUGGCGAAAGCGCUCUACUGGACGGCAACUGACACUCAGGGACGAAAGCUAGGGGAGCGAAUGGGAUUAGAUACCCC
rnacentral:rRNA from 1 species